rnacentral:rRNA from 1 species
AUUGAACGCUGGCGGCAGGCCUAACACAUGCAAGUCGUACGAGUGGCGGACGGGUGAGUAAUGUCUGGGAAACUGCCCGAUGGAGGGGGAUAACUACUGGAAACGGUAGCUAAUACCGCAUACCAUCGGAUGUGCCCAGAUGGGAUUAGCUAGUUGGUGGGGUAAUGGCUCACCUAGGCGACGAUCCCUAGCUGGUCUGAGAGGAUGACCAGCCAAACGGGUACUUAGACACGGUCCAGACUCCUACGGGAGGCAGCAGUGGGGAAUAUUGCACAAUGGGCGCAAGCGUGAUGCAGCCAUGCCGCGUGUAUGAAGAAGGCCUUCGGGGUGUAAAGUACUUUCAGCGAGGAGGCGUUACUCGCAGAAGAAGCACCGGCUAACUCCGUGCCAGCAGCCGCGGUAAUAC